rfam:Aptenodytes forsteri contig52130, whole genome shotgun sequence.
CACUUCUCAAUGAGCUCCUUCCUGCCAACAAAUCCGUGGCAGCCUAUGGAUUCGCACGAGAAGAAUAUUAACUGUUCAGUACUGGCAGACUCACAAUGGGGCUCCCCAUCGGUUGUGAUGAGCCACUGCUGUUCUACAAGU